UACGUAGGGGGCUAGCGUUGUCCGGAAUCAUUGGGCGUAAAGCGCGCGUAGGCGGCCCGGUAAGUCCGUUGUGAAAGUCAAAGGCUCAACCUUUGAAAGCCGAUGGAUACUGCCGGGCUAGAGUCCGGAAGAGGCGAGUGGAAUUCCUGGUGUAGCGGUGGAAUGCGCAGAUAUCAGGAGGAACACCGAUAGCGAAGGCAGCUCGCUGGGACGGUACUGACGCUAAGGCGCGAAAGCACGGGGAGCAAACAGG
rnacentral:rRNA from 1 species